GAUGAACGCUGGCGGCGUGCCUAAUACAUGCAAGUCGAGCGAACAGACGAGGAGCUUGCUGCGCUCACGAUAGCGGCGGACGGGUGAGUAACACGUGUAUCACCUACCUAUAUGACUGGGAUCACUUCGGGACUCCGGAGCUAAUACCGGAUAAUAUAUUGAACCGCAUGGUUCAUUGGUGAAAGACGGUUGUGCUGUCACUUAUAGCUGCAUCUGGGCUGCAUUAGCUAGUUGGUACGUUAACGGCUUACCAAGGCAACGAUGCGUAGCCGACCUGCGGGGCGGAUCGGCCGCCUGGGAACGGGGACAGGGUCAAGGCGCCUGCGGGAGGCAGCAGUAGGGAAUGGUACGCAAUAGGCGGAAGCCUGGCGGAGCGACGCCGCGUGAGUUGUGAAGGCCUUCGGAUCGUAAAACUCUGUUAUGAGGGAAAAACAAAUGUGUAAGUAACUGUGCACGGCUUGACGGUACCGAAUCAGAAAGCCACGGCUAACUACGUG
rnacentral:rRNA from 1 species